ensembl:lncRNA
GCUUUAACAGAGCAGAGCACGGUUCCUUAAUCCCACUCAACUUCUCACUUGCUGCUUUCUACAGGCAGGUCGCCAUAAAUGGACAUGAGACACAAGACUGGACUGGACCAAAGUGGCGGAUCGACCGAACAGACUGACCUACUCUGCAAUCCCCAAUGCCGGGCUGUCAACAUAUAUUAUCAUCCUCUAAAGGUGGAACAUUAGUUAAACAUUAGUUUACUUUGUUAUUUAUCCUUCACAGAUUUAUCCGAGUGACACAUACAGUUGGUUUAGUUCAUUUUGAAGUGCAGUUCUGAUUUAUUUUAUCAUGCUCAGGCAGGGUUGUUCACAUCAGAUGACAUUAAUGAGCAGAGGAGGUGACUGUCGGGCACAAAGCAGGGAUUUAUGUAUAUAUUAUGUGUUAUGUGUAAAUAUCAAUGUAACUAAAGCACAUUUACACCUGCCGUUUUACACACCCAAGCUUGGCA